rnacentral:rRNA from 1 species
UAACACAUGCAAGUCGAACGGACCAUACACGCAGCUUGCUGCGUGUAUGGUUUAGUGGCAGACGGGUGAGUAAUGCAUAGGAAUCUGCCUAGUAGUAUAGGAUAGCCACUAGAAAUGGUGGGUAAUACUGUAUAAUCCCUGCGGGGGAAAGAUUUAUCGCUAUUAGAUGAGCCUAUGUCAGAUUAGCUAGUUGGUGGGGUAAUGGCCCACCAAGGCUGUGAUCUGUAGCUGGUCUGAGAGGAUGAUCAGCCACACUGGAACUGAGACACGGUCCAGACUCCUACGGGAGGCAGCAGUGGGGAAUAUUGGACAAUGGGCGCAAGCCUGAUCCAGCUAUGCCGCGUGAGUGAGGAAGGCCUUAGGGUUGUAAAACUCUUUCAGUAGGGAAGAUAAUGACGGUACCUACAGAAGAAGUCCCG